AAGUAAAAUUUAGUUUUAGUAGAUAAUAAAAUUUAUUUAUUAUUAAGAUUGAAGCCAUUAAAAUUUAGGUAUAAACUAGGAUUAGAUACCCUAUUAUACUUUAUUUAAAAUAUUUAUGUUUGAGUAGUAAUUAGAUAUGUUCUUGAAACUUAAAGGAUUUGGCGGUAUUUUAGUCUUGUUAGAGGAACCUGUUCUUUAAAUGAUAAACCUCGAAGUAUCUUACUUUAUUAAGUUUUCAGUUUGUAUAUCGCCAUUAGUAGAUAGUUUUUAUGGGAGGUUAUUAAAAUAAUAAAUGUAUUAGUAUAUUAGGUCAAGGUGCAGCUAAUAAUAAAGAAAGUAAUGGGUUACAAUAAAUUAAGUUUAUACGGAUAUAAAUUGAAUAUUUUUAUGAAGGAGGAUUUAAUAGUAAUUUUUUUUUAAUAUGUAAAAUUGAUAUAAGCUCUAAAAUAUGUA
rnacentral:rRNA from 1 species